AUGCAACUCUUGCCUUCAAGUGGCUUACAUGGAGCACGUGUGCUUAUGCCAUAUCAUCUCUACAGAGAAGUCAUGAAAGGGCUAAAGUUUGUGAGAGGAACAUUUUAUAUAGAAGAGUUCUAUUUUAUAAAUCUUACCAACAGUCAAAUGUCAAUGAAUUUGAUGCUUAACCACACUAACUUCUUGUGCUUCAUGAAUCUUUCAGUCAUUCAAUACCAGCACAAGCUUGAGUCAUCAAGGAUACUUCAAUUAAUGGAGUCUUCCUUGGCCACACUUGGAAGUGCCUUGGUGACCCCUGAACAAAUUAUUUGAGAACCACCUGACCAAGAAAGAAAAAUCUGCAUUUUUAAAUGGGAAUCAAAGGUGUUUGCUCCAAAGCCAUGUUUCUACAAUGAUUAAAUCAACACUGUUGUUUCUGGAAUCUCAAGUUCUUUACUUUUGAAUUUUCUUCCAAUAAAAACCAAUCUCAUCCCA
rnacentral:lncRNA from 1 species